ACGCGCCCUAUCGAACAGGGGCAGUUCGAUAUGUCCCUGUUAGGCACUGUAGCAAGUACUUUUUUAUUUUUUUCUUGAACAACUACCCUGUUGAACUGGGGGCAGUUCGAUAGGUACCCCCUAUCGAACUGCCUCAGUUCGACAGGGCG
rnacentral:pre_miRNA from 1 species